rnacentral:rRNA from 1 species
GAACGCUAGGCGGCAGGCUUAACACAUGCAAGUCGAGGGGUAUAGUUCUUCGGAAUUAGAGACCGGCGCACGGGUGCGUAACGCGUAUGCAAUCUACCUUUCACAGAGGGAUAGCCCAGAGAAAUUUGGAUUAAUACCUCAUAGUAUAGCAGUUUCGCAUGAAACCACUAUUAAAGUCACAACGGUGAAAGAUGAGCAUGCGUCCCAUUAGCUAGUUGGUAAGGUAACGGCUUACCAAGGCAACGAUGGGUAGGGGGUCCUGAGAGGGAGAUCCCCCACACUGGUACUGAGACACGGACCAGACUCCUACGGGAGGCAGCAGUGAGGAAUAUUGGACAAUGGGCGCAAGCCUGAUCCAGCCAUGCCGCGUGCAGGAUGACGGUCCUAUGGAUUGUAAACUGCUUUUAUACAGGAAGAAACACUACUUCGUGAAGUAGCUUGACGGUACUGUAAGAAUAAGGAUCGGCUAACUCCGUG